rnacentral:rRNA from 1 species
GCUCCCGCUCGCCGCCGCAAGGGCCUGCCUUUCCUCCCCGGCGCCGCCGCCGAGACCCCAAACCCGAGCGGCGCCUCCCUUCCCCCUUCCCCGUCGCCGCUCCACGGCCACACUGCCCAGACCAGCCAGGAUUCCUCUCCUCUGCCCGCUCGGGAUAGCGCGUCGGGGGCGUCCUCGCGGCCCGCGAGGGACCACGUGAUCGACUUCGGCAAGCACAAGGGCCAAAUGAUGGGCACGCUGCCGCCGUCCUACCUGCGCUGGGUGGUCGCGGAGCUCGGCCACUGGGACACGCUGGUCUGGGUGCGCCUGGCGCGCGAGGUGCUCGACGACCCCGUCUACGUCGACUUCGAGAUGGCCGAGCGCUUCGGCUGGGAUGUCUUCGAUGAGGACGGCUGGGGCCGCCUCGACUUCCACCUCCUCGACACCUCCAAUGGCGGGCGCAUCCCGAGGAAGGCUGACCGGCGCCAGAGCACCGACAGCGGCAGCAACAGACCCCCCCCCCCCCCCCCCCCCGCGGCGGCGGCGCCCUGUUCGACACCGAGGCGGCCGACCCAGAUGAGCCGAGGGGGAAGAAAGACGAGAGGAGGGAGCGGAUGCAGACGAGGGAGGGAGGAACAGGUGAGGACGGCGAAAUUGGAUGUGCUCGGCGUGAACUCCAGCGCGAAAUCUGACUCUGACGCGGGCGAGGCUAGCGCGCCGUUAACGGCAGUUAACGCGCGGCUGGUG